rnacentral:pre_miRNA from 1 species
AGAGGAAUCAUCUGGGAUCUUGCUAAGAUGCAGAUUCUGAUUCCCUAGGUCAGGUGUGAGGCCUGGGAUUCUGCAUUUCUAACAAGCUCCCAAAUGAUGCAAGU